rnacentral:rRNA from 1 species
UCCGUGCCAGCGGCCGCGGUAAUACGGAGGGUGCAAGCGUUAUUCGGAAUCACUGGGCGUAAAGGACGCGUAGGCGGGUUGGAAAGUCAGAUGUGAAAUCCUACAGCUUAACUGUAGAACUGCAUUUGAAACUUCUAAUCUAGAGUAUGGGAGGGGGAGAUGGAAUUAGUGGUGUAGGGGUAAAAUCCGUAGAUAUCACUAGGAAUACCGAAAGCGAAGGCGAUCUCCUGGAACAUAACUGACGCUAAGGCGUGAAAGCGUGGGGAGCAAACAGGAUUAGAUACCCUGGUAGUCCACGCCCUAAACGAUGAACACUAGUCGUCGGGAUGCUAGUCAUCUCGGUGAUGCACUUAACAGAUUAAGUGUUCCGCCUGGGGAGUACGGUCGCAAGAUUAAAACUCAAAGGAAUAGACGGGGACCCGCACAAGUGGUGGAGCAUGUGGUUUAAUUCGAAGAUACGCGAAGAACCUUACCUAGCCUUGACAUUGAUUGAACCUGCCAGAGAUGGCGGGGUGCCCUUCGGGGAACAUGAAAACAGGUGCUGCACGGCUGUCGUCAGCUCGUGUCGUGAGAUGUUGGGUUAAGUCCCGCAACGAGCGCAACCCUCGUCCUUAGUUGCUAGCAGGUUAAGCUGAGCACUCUAAGGAGACUGCCUUCGUAGGGAGGAGGAAGGUGAGGACGACGUCAAGUCAUCAUGGCCCUUAUGGCUAGGGCUACACACGUGCUACAAUGGGGCGUACAGAGUGUUGCGAUACCGCGAGGUGGAGCUAAUCACUUAAAGCGUCUCUCAGUUCGGAUUGGAGUCUGCAACUCGACUCCAUGAAGCUGGAAUCACUAGUAAUCGUAGAUCAGCAAUGCUACGGUGAAUACGUUCCCGGGUCUUGCACACACCGCCCGUC